rfam:Hordeum vulgare subsp. vulgare, WGS project CAJW01000000 data, contig: morex_contig_2268590
UUAUUACUCCCCCCGUCCAAAAAUUCUUGUCUUAAGUUUAUCUAGAAAUGGAUGUACCUAAAUACUAAAACUUGACUAGAUACAUUUAUAUAUAGACAAAUGUAAGACAAGAAUUUUGGGUGGGAGGAAGUAUUAU